CCUACGGUAGGCAGCAGUGAGGAAUAUUGGUCAAUGGGCGGGAGCCUGAACCAGCCAAGCCGCGUGAGGGAAGAAGGUACAGCGUAUCGUAAACCUCUUUUGUCAGGGAACACAGUCGGUGACUAGUCCACCGAUGAGAGUACCUGAAGAGAAAGCAUCGGCUAACCCCGUGCCAGCAGCCGCGGGAAUACGGAGGAUGCGAGCGUUAUCCGGAUGUGUUGGGUUUAGAGGGGGAGCAGGCGGCCUGUUAAGUCAGCGGGAAAGUCCCGGAGCUCCACCCAGGGGAGCCGGUGACACUGGCGGGCUGGAGUUGGAGAGAAGUACGCGGAAUGCGCGGUGUAGCGGUGAAAUGCUUAGAGUGCGCGCAGAACCCCGAUGGCGAAGGCAGCGGACCGGCUCCACACUGACGCUGAGGCACGAAAGCGUGGGUAUCGAACAGGAUUAGAUACCCGUGUAGUC
rnacentral:rRNA from 1 species